AGAGGGUGCCUUUCAGGCAUCCUCUCCUAAAACUUCAGGCCGGCCUAGUGCCGGCCUUUUUUUGUUCGUUG
rnacentral:sRNA from 1 species